GUAAGAGAUUUUAUGAGAUAAGAUCUAAUCUUUUUAGCCUGAUUGGAUAAUGAUUUGAAUCAGGAAAAGGCCUAUAUAAAGAGAAGGUCUUCUAUGAUUUUAUAAGUUAGUUGUUUUUGAUUAAAAAAUCAAAUCUCUCUCCAUCUCUCCUCUCCAUGCCACACCCUCUCUCUCUUCUCUUUCCAACACCCAAGAGUUGGGUGUCCCAUCCUUCUACACAGCAAGAGGUGAGGAGUUAUUCUUCUACAGCAAGAAACGAGGAGAAGGAGGCUACAGUUCAAAGGUUGAAGUUGCAGUCCAGAUCAUUUGCUGAUCAAGGUUCAAAGAGGCAUAAAUCUUUCUUGAAGAAAAAAAAAUCUAACAUGAGAAGAAAGAUUCAAAGUUGAUCCCGAUGGAUACCUGUAGAGGUUGGACAAGUGUGCAGCUCAAGGACCUUCAAACUUGAGAUCAUCGAUAGCAGUGAAUUUCUACUCGUGUAAAGGUAUUA
rnacentral:lncRNA from 1 species